rnacentral:rRNA from 1 species
UAUUGGUCAAUGGGCGGAAGCCAGAACCAGCCAUGCCGCGUGCAGGAUGACUGCCCUAUGGGUUGUAAACUGCUUUUGUCCGGGAAUAAACCUCCUUACGAGUAGGGAGCUGAAUGUACUGGAAGACUAAGGAUCGGCUAACUCCGGGCCAGCUGCCGCCGUAAUACGGAGGAUCCGAGCGUGAUCCGGAUUUAUUGGGUUUAAAGGGUGCGUAGGCGGCGCGUUAAGUCAGGGGUGAAAUACGGUGGCUCAACCAUCGCAGUGCCUUUGAUACUGACGUGCUUGAAUCCAUAUGAAGUGGGCGGAAUAAGACAAGUAGCGGUGAAAUGCAUAGAUAUGUCUUAGAACUCCGAUUGCGAAGGCAGCUCACUAAGCUGGUAUUGACGCUGAUGCACGAAAGCGUGGGGAUCGAACAGGA